GGUUCCAUGGUGUAAUGGUUAGCACUCUGGACUUUGAAUCAGUGAUCCAGUUCAAAUCUUGGUGGAACCU
rnacentral:tRNA from 1 species